GCAUCUGAAUCUUUCCCACUCCUUGCGAUUAGUGCUGGACUGGGGACGCAUGAUGCAAGAGGAAAGCAGAGGAAAUCCAGACAAGCUCCCUUUCACCACAGCGGGACUUGUCUCUACGCCUUUGCAACACUU
rnacentral:snoRNA from 1 species